rnacentral:rRNA from 1 species
UGCAGUCGUACGAGAGUUUUUAACUCUAGUGGCGGACGGGUGAGUAACACGCUGUAGAAUUUACCUUUAGGAGGGGGACAACAAUUGGAAGCGACUGCUAAUACCCCAUAUGCUUUUGAGUGAAAUGGAUUUAUAUUUAUCCGCCUAGAGAGAAGCUCGCGGCUGAUUAGCUUGUUGGUAAGGUAAGAGCUUACCAAGGCGACGAUCAGUAUCUGGUUUGAGAGGACGAUCAGACACACUGGAACUGAGACACGGUCCAGACUCCUACGGGAGGCAGCAGUGGGGAAUUUUCCGCAAUGGGCGAAAGCCUGACGGAGCAAUACCGCGUGAGGGAAGACUGCCUAUGGGUUGUAAACCUCUUUUUUCAGGGAGGAAUAAAAUGACGUGUACCUGAAGAAUAAGCAUCGGCUAACUCCGUGCCAGCAGCCGCGGUAAGACGGAGGAUGCAAGUGUUAUCCGGAAUCACUGGGUGUAAAGCGUCUGUAGGUGGUUUGAUAAGUCAACUGUUAAAUCUUGAGGUUCAACUUCAAAAUCGCAGUCGAAACUAUUAGACUAGAGUAUAGUAGAGGUAAAGGGAAUUUCCAGUGGAGCGGUGAAAUGCGUAGAUAUUGGAAAGAACACCGAUGGCGAAAGCACUUUACUGGGCUAUUACUAACACUCAGAGACGAAAGCUAGGGUAGCAAAUGGGAUUAGAUACCCCAGUAGUCCUAGCCGUAAACUAUGGAUACUAGAUGUUGAACAGAUCGACCUGUGCAGUAUCAAAGCUAACGCGUU